rnacentral:rRNA from 1 species
UACGUAGGGGGCAAGCGUUGGUCCGGAUUUAUUGGGCGUAAAGAGCGUGUAGGCGGCCAGGUAGGUCCGUUGUGAAAACUCGAGGCUCAACCUCGAGACGUCGGCGGAAACCCUCUGGACUAGAGUCCGGAAGAGGAGAGUGGAAUUCCUGGUGUAGCGGUGAAAUGCGCAGAAUAUCAGGAAGACACCCGUGGCGAAGGCGGACUCCUC